GAGGAAUAUUGGUCAAUGGGCGCGAGCCUGAACCAGCCAAGUAGCGUGAAGGAUGACUGCCCUAUGGGUUGUAAACUUCUUUUAUAAGGGAAUAAAGUGAGGCACGUGUGCCUUAUUGUUGGUCCUUAGGUAUAAGCACACGCCAACCCCGGGCCAGCAGCGGCGGUAAUACGGAGGAUGCAAGCGUUACCGGAUUUAUUGGGUUUAAAGGGAGCGUAGGCGGACUAUUAAGUCAGCUGUGAAAGUUUACGGCUCAACCGUGAAAUUGCAGUUGAAACUGGUCGUCUUGAGUGCAGUAAAGGUGGGCGGAAUUCGUGGUGUAGCGGUGAAAUGCUUAGAUAUCACGAAGAACUCCAAUUGCGAAGGCAGCUCACUGGAGUGUAACUGACGCUGAUGCUCGAAAGUGUGGGUAGCAAACA
rnacentral:rRNA from 1 species